rnacentral:sRNA from 1 species
GCCAGGCAUGGUGGCGCAUGCUUGUAAUCCCAGUACUCAGGAGGCUGAGGCAGGAGGAUCUUUGUGAGUUUGAGACCAGCCUGGGCUACAAAGUGAGCUCAAAGCCAGCCUGAACUGCAUAGCAAGACCCUGUCUUGAAAAGACAAAAAAAAAAAAAAAAAAAAAAUUCAUUUUAUUUUCUGUGGUUCAGGCUGGCUUUGAACUCAUUCUACAGCCCCAACUGGCUUUGAACUCACUGAGAUCCUCCUGCCUCA